ACUGUGAAUGUAAAUUUUCCUUUCACAGCCACCAACUUCAGCUUUGAAACAAGCUUAGCCUUAUUAGCAAAACUCUGACCGACAUAUAUGUUAUCAUUAAAGGACAUCGAUCUUCCCACAGCACCAGCGUACUCCGCUUGUAGUCCACCAUAAUACAUUUCAUUUGCAUCUUCAUCAGAAUCCUCAUCUUUCAAUUUCCCAUAAUCACUGUAGUUUACAGCAUCGUCGUCAACAUCAACAACAACAUCAGCAGUUUCUUGGGCAUCAUCAGCAGUUGCUUGGGCAUCAUCAGCAGUUGCUUGAGCAUCAUACCCAUCUUCAUCCAACCCUUCGCAAAUUUAUUCAUCAGCACAAAAAAUAUUACCACCAUCAGAUACAUCAGCAUCGUCCUCACCUUCAGCUUCUACUUGGCACUGGCUUGAUACACAAAGGCGUAUAAUAUGCGUCUUACAUAACUCGAUCAAGUUCUUAACUUGUCUAUCAUUCGUAACAUAUGCAUAGGAGGAGUAUCAGGACCCAUUUGCUCUAAAAUUACGUAUGGUUAGGAAUACGU
rnacentral:lncRNA from 1 species